GACAAGACAUUAUCGGGGAC
rnacentral:miRNA from 1 species